GGGGAAUGAAGCCUGGCUGCUGCUUCCUGAAGAUCUCAGCCACUGGAGGGGGUCAGAGCACCUUGCUGCACAGGGAAAGCCCUUGCAGCUCUGACACAGAAGAGCGGCACCGAGCCUUGGUCUGUUCCUGCCCUUUUUCCCACUCCAGUUCCAGGCUGGGUGUUGGAGGCUGGAGUCCCAUGUGCUAUCACACUGGAAACACUGUGUCCUCUGAGCACCACCUCACAAAGCCGCCUGCUGCUGACCAUUACUCCCAUUCCUGAUGAAGUGAAAGGAUGCAGGGAUGAAGUCACUCUUACUCAGCCUUGUGAUCUCAUUUCAGUGAGCAUUCAGGACUGUUUGCUCGAAGCCUUACUGGUGCUGAACGGGAUUGCGCAAUUCAGGCUUCAGGAGCUGCCGUGUGGGUGUGUGCGUACUCUCUGCACAGGAAGGAGCACAGAGAGUUCCUUGUAGUAGCCUUUGUUUCAAGGCUCUGGAGAACAUCUUAAAAGCCUGUCCCUCUCCUAUGUCAUCUGUAACUUCCUUUGCACUGGAACACACGCACUGAGUGGGAGAGGUAAUGACAGUGGAGAGAAAGUACUCACAAUAUAAACAUACUUUCACCUUGCGCAGAUAGCAGAAGGGAGCCCAACAAAUGGCCCUGCCAGGAAAGGAAUCUCCUUCCAACUUGGUGUGUCUGCUAGGGGAAGACUGGGAACACUGUGUUUUCUGCAGGGCCAUCUGAUGCUGUCUGCGAUGCUGCACUUGUUUACUGCAGCGUGUUGUGGCUCUGGGAAUUGCAGCACAGAAAUGUCCAAAAGGUUUUAUACUUGGCUUAUUUCUCAGAAAGCUGUGACUUGGAAAACUCAGGCCGGCCUAACUUUUCUUCCAAGUAUUCAAACAAUAUGCUUGGUAAUGUCAUUCUGCAGACAGUUUUGAUUUCUGAUUUUUCCAAUUAAUUUUGGGAGAAAACAGAGGUCCUGGAAUUUCCCACAAAGCAGAAUUUCUGUUGUUCCACCAGCUUGACUCAGCAAGAAUUUCUCCCACAGGAAUUUGGCCGUAAGUACUGAUACCAGCUAGGCAGUUUGAAUCUCUCUAGAUGGUGAAAGCUAGAGAAAAGUAUCUCAUAAAUCAUCAUGUCAUUGCUGUUUCAUACUCAAGAGGGGAGAAGAUCAUCUCACCUUCCUUUCUGUUCUCCUAUGCAUGUUUCCUGGGAACAACCUAAGCAGCCUCAGCUGCUUGCUGCAAAAGGAUCACAGAGGAUCCAGUGAGAGACAGGAAGAUGGACAGUGAAACAAGGGGAGCGACUCCUCUCAACCUGACACAAUUACGGACUAUGGGAGAAGCACCCAGGCUACAAAAUCAACUCAUGAGGACAAACCAAGGGAUGCUGCUGCCCCUUGAACGUUUUUCUGUCUUGCUCUCCAGGAGCUGAGGAUCUCUGGACAAACUCUGAGAGACAGAGGCGAGUGAAACUGCCAGUGGGUGGUGCAUGGGCAUCUCUAAUGCUCGCAAAUAUGAGCCUCACGCUGCCCAUGCCCGCUGCAUGUAUUCUAUUUAAACCACAGCAGAGGGAGCGUUGGCAAAGCGUCUCAGCAGAGCAACCUUUUGUUAUACCUGCAGCUGCUCCCUUCCCUGUCAGUGCAACCAAAGCAAAAAUAAUCCCAGUAACGGGGAUCGUGCAGUUUGUUGAUUCACUGCCUUGUGAUAGU
ensembl:lncRNA